GUCCCCCUGCAUCCUCCCCUGGCAGUGGGUUCUCAAUCUCUGCAGAUUAUGUCAAAGGGGUCUACAAAAGACUUUGGAAAUCUAUUGCAGGUAUGUACAGUUGAAUUCUGUGCAGUCAGUUUUCAGUCAAAGGGGCCUGCACCUUUGCUCAGCAUUUUUAGGGGUCCACAAAUGAAAAAAGUUUGAAAAUCACUGACUUAGAGGACUCUAAUCUGCUGGACUUCAACAUCAGACAAUGAGCUGCCUUUCCAUAUUAUCCCAUUACACAUGGAGAAAUAUGGCUAGCUGGCUGCUCCCCUGGAAAGGUGACCUGAUCUGUAAGCCACUGAGGAUAUACACAGCCUUCAAAAGCAUCAUGUCCCAAGGAGUCACUUGUGUGGAUCAUGUACAAGACUAGCCUGAUAGUCAUUUCCUAUCUUUGGCAAGAAAUCCUCUAGGAACAGGAACUUACGGGUGGAAAAAGACCUGCCAAUAAGUGGUUCAGCGUGGAAAAUAGGGACUCUGCUGAUCUAUACUCAUGUCGAAACAGGAGAUUGUAAAAGCAGCACAAAUAGUGACCCUUGGUGACCAAGUUUGCUGGCUACAGGAGGACGUGAGCAGCGAGAUCAGAAUAUCCAGCAGAUUUUCAAGCAGAGGAAGUCUUGUUGCUUCCCCUGCAGAUCAAAUUACUCAAUCUGGCCUGAUCCUGCUGCCAUUGAGGAUCCUCCAGGAGUAUGAAUGGAAUGGAAUGGUAUCACUCUAUGAUGAGAUUGCAUCAUCUGUUUUUCCCCAACUACAGAACAGAAAUAUUUAUUGAGCAUUUCUACCUUUUCUGCAUGAUUAUUGGGAUUAUCUGGAUCCACAAGUGAUAUGAAGAUGUGCAAAUCCUGGGUGUUCACUGAAGAGAUACUAUGGAAAAAUGACAAAUGGCUUCUGCUGCAUAUUACAACACCAGUGGCCUGUUGAACACCAAAAUGAUGGUCACAUUUCUGUCAGUUUCACCUAAGAUGCUAUUAAAGGGAAAUAAAAUCUCUUGGUUCAGGGCAUAAAUGAGAGCUGCAGGAACCGGGGAGGUAUAUCCACACUCUUCUCAGGCAGAGAACCAGAUAUGAUGGGUCAGUUAUCUGACCUUUUAUAGUAAAUCUUAUUUUUCUAAGAACUUCUGUUUUGUUGCAGAAUAUUGAGCUUCUAACUGCCUCGGAAGAAGUGUGGCUUAUUUUGCUUCUGUGACUUGCUAAUGGUUAUUAUCCCGGGGUAGAGUUCAUACAAAAAUAUAGAAGGCAUAACUUUGAAGUUUUGUGUUUUAUUGUCGUUGGCACCAGAAAUGUUUUUGAUCUAUGGUAUGUACACAUACAUCCUCUGUAAACAAGAAUGCAUCAAUAUCGGUUUCUUAAGGUUUUGUUUCAAUGACUGUAUGGUUUUUAAAAAAUACAUUCACAAACUACCUUAUGUUUAAACACAAUGAUUCCCUUUUAUUUUGUAACUGUUCCCCAAAAACCCACAAUAAAAAAAAUCAUUUAAAGCUGUGUAUUCUGAACAUGUCACUUCAGGGGGAAAAAAAAGUCAUCAGUUUGCAACAUAAAUUAAUAAGCUUGUUUAAGGUAGCCACAGGGAACAUAUAAAGAGCUGGUGACAAUCACUGUGAAAUGACUUAUUCUGAUUCCAGGCCUGCCGCUGAGGUGGGAGGGGCCAAGGAAGAAGUUGCCGCAGUGCCUAGUGAUUCAAAGGAGUCCAGGGCUCUGGUCACCAUAGCAAGGGUGGUGGCUGGGGCCACAGGUCCUUUAAAUUGCCACUGAAGUGCUGCACUGCACACUCCAGGUGGCUGAGAGGGUUGGCUGCCCCCUCCCCAUCCCUUCCGCCUCAGGCCCUGUCCCUUCCGGGAGCACAGAGCACCCCACACCUUGCCCAAGGGCCUACACAGGCUGUUGGCUCUCCUGUCUGGUUCAGUUUUAAUUCCAGGAUGCAACAACUACAGCAGUUACCCAAUUUAAUCAGAAAAGUUAUUGCUAAAUAAAUAUUUUGCAAUAAAAAGCACGAAGGUACGUAUGUGCAUGGUGGUGGGAGACGUGGGCUGAAAUGGACAGUCCCUUCCUGAUCAUCACUCCGUGAGGUCUCUAAGGGUAUGUCUACACUACAUGGCUCCAUCGACGGAGCCAUGUAGAUGAGCUUUGUAGACAUAGCAAAAUGAAGC